rnacentral:rRNA from 1 species
UACGAAGGGUGCAAGCGUUACUCGGAAUUACUGGGCGUAAAGCGUGCGUAGGCGGUUUGUUAAGUCCGCUGUGAAAGCCCUGGGCUCAACCUGGGAAUUGCAGUGGAUACUGGCAAGCUAGAGUGCGGUAGAGGAUGGUGGAAUUCCCGGUGUAGCGGUGAAAUUCGUAGAUAUCAAGCGGAACACCGGUGGCGAAGGCGGCCUUCUGGACAGUGACUGACGCUGAGAUGCGAAAGCGUGGGGAGCAAACAGG